rnacentral:misc_RNA from 1 species
GAAAUGCGAUAAUUAAUGUGAAUUGCAGAAUUCAGUGAAUCAUCGAGUCUUUGAACGCACAUUGCGCCCCCUGGUAUUCCGGGGGGCAUGCCUGUCCGAGCGUCAUUGCUGCCCUCAAGCACGGCUUGUGUGUUGGGCUUCCGUCCCUGGCAACGGGGACGGGCCCAAAAGGCAGUGGCGGCACCAUGUCUGGUCCUCGAGCGUAUGGGGCUUUGUCACCCGCUCCCGUAGGUCCAGCUGGCAGCUAGCCUCGCAACCAAUCUUUUUAACCCGGUUGACCUCGGAUCAGGUAGGGAUACCCGCUGAACUUAAGC